UGCCAGACUCCUACGGGAGGCAGCAGUGGGGAAUAUUGCACAAUGGGGGAAACCCUGAUGCAGCGACGCCGCGUGAAGGAAGAAGUAUUUCGGUAUGUAAACUUCUAUCAGCAGGGAAGAAAAUGACGGUACCUGACUAAGAAGCCCCGGCUAACUACGUGCCAGCAGCCGCGGUAAUACGUAGGGGGCAAGCGUUAUCCGGAUUUACUGGGUGUAAAGGGAGCGUAGGCGGUUUAGCAAGUCAGAAGUGAAAGCCCGGGGCUCAACUCCGGGACUGCUUUUGAAACUGUUGAACUAGAGUGCGGGAGAGGUAAGUGGAAUUCCUAGUGUAGCGGUGAAAUGCGUAGAUAUUAGGAGGAACACCAGUGGCGAAGGCGGCUUACUGGACUGUAAAUGACGCUGAGGCUCGAAAGCGUGGGGAGCAAACAGGAUUAGAUACCCGCGUAUU
rnacentral:rRNA from 1 species